rnacentral:tRNA from 1 species
CGAAAUCGGUAGACGCUACGGACUUAAAAUCCGUC